AGCCCGGGCAGCGUGGGCCGAGCCGCGAGGCGCCUGUGUGCGGCGCGGGGUCUGGCGCCCGGUCCUCUCGCCGCCUGUGGCUCCACGUCACGGCUGAGUCACCGCGGGGACGGGGCAGGAAUUACCCGCUGCGGUGCAAGAAAUCCCCUGGAUGGUGGCAGGCGCUUUGGGAGGCCCGUCGUGCUUUCAAGUGAGAGAAAAGGAAAACAAGAGCGAGAGAAAAAGAACUGAGCCUCGGAUUUUCAGGAACUGCAGUCCGAGUUCCCGGCCGAGCACCUUGGCUGCCGGGGGCCCCCCUCCUCCCUGGGGACACAGCUGUGAGCGAUCUGAGCCCGGGGACCCCAGGAGAACUGUGGGGGAGCUCCCCGCGCGGAAAUCCCCAGGGCUCGCAGGCAGGGCCCAGAGCGCGUCUCAGGUGAAAGCCGCUUCGCCCACGGGCUCCGCCGGCUGUAAGAAUCCCCGGCCCUCCCGGCCCUCCCCGGCCCUCCCAGUGACGACACCGGCCUCCCCUCCUCUGGGAGCAGGACGUGCCCAGCGCCCUCCCCACUUCCCCUCAGGAAGUCACAGGGGGCCGCAUACUUGGGGCACGUCCCUGCAUGUCCAGCUCCAAGAACAAAGCUCUAGGGAAUAUAGGAAAUUAGAUGACUUAAAGCCAAUGGAGCAGAGUUGGCGGCGCCCGCUCGUCGUUGUUUCCCUGGCUUGGCACAGGCACGGGCGUCGGCCCGGUUCAGGCGACCAGCCCGCAGGACACGAUCCCUGAACACCUGUACCUAAGGGAAGUGUCCCUGCCGUCGCCUGUGUGUCGCCUUUCUUAGGGCUGAAGAGCCAGAUGCGUCCUAACAAAACUAGGAGAGAAGUCGGGUUGCUCGUGGAAGGGCGUUUCUACGUCUGCUAAUCUUCACCGUCUCCACAAUUUCUCAGAUUUUAAGGUAAGGAACCGAGUGGCUCUAGAAUCGUCGGCCUCAGAGAUGUCCCUGGGCUUUCCCCAUCAUCUUGGGACUGGCCGCUUUGCGACCACAACGGGGAUUCCAGUUAAUGGUAAA
rnacentral:lncRNA from 1 species